GCUGGGCAUGGUGGUGCGUGCCUGUAAUCCCAGCUACUCAGGAAGCUGAGGCAGGAGAAUCACUUGAACCCAGGAGGCGGAGGUUACAAAGAGUCAAGAUUGUGCCACUGCACUCCGGCCUGGGCAACAGAGUGAGACCCUGCCUUAA
ensembl:misc_RNA Metazoa_SRP Metazoan signal recognition particle RNA